rnacentral:rRNA from 1 species
AAUCAACGCUGGCGGCGUGCCUCAGACAUGCAAGUCGAACGAUUAAAGCUCUCUUCGGAGAGUGUAUAGAGUGGCGCACGGGUGAGUAACACGUAAGUAAUCUACCUUUGAGUGGGAGUAACAGUCGGAACGGAACUGCUAAUAACCGCAUAAUAGCAGCGGCGAUCGCAAGAAUGACAGUUGUUUAAAGGAAGGCAAUACCGCC